rnacentral:sRNA from 1 species
ACCGACAAUAAUUAAGGUUUGUAUUCCGUUGUUUUACUUUGUAAUUGUGUGCCCCUGAAUGUUCUGAACAGUACAUACGCACAUCGAACAAAGCUGAUCCAGCUCUUGCCCUGUUGGCUGUGCGGUUGGUUGUUGGUUGGUCAGUAUUCGAUUCCAGAGACCACGUAAUUAAGCCCGAUGUUGCCAGGAGUACAUGGAUGUAGGAGAACAGGGCCUGCAUACCUUUGGGCUGGUGGAAAUUGCUGAGGCUUGGUAAUCCUCAAACAGAGUGAACAAAGCAUGAAAAGGGAAAUUCAGACGAUAAGCAGUUCUCGACAAGGAAAUACGAACGUGAACGUGGCAACAAACGCAAACGCAAACGCAAGCAAGAAAACAGAAGAAAAGAAAAUAAAAUAAAUAU